UACGUAGGGUGCGAGCGUUGAUCGGAAUUACUGGGCGUAAAGCGUGCGCAGGCUGUUUUGUAAGUCAGAUGUGAAAUCCCCGAGCUCAACUUGGGAACUGCGUUUGAAACUACAAGACUAGAAUAUGUCAGAGGGGGGUAGAAUUCCACGUGUAGCAGUGAAAUGCGUAGAGAUGUGGAGGAAUAUCAAUGGCGAAGGCAGCCCCCUGGGAUAAUAUUGACGCUCAUGCACGAAAGCGUGGGGAGCAAACAGG
rnacentral:rRNA from 1 species